UGGCGGCUUUAGCGCGGUGGUCCCACCUGACCCCAUGCCGAACUCAGAAGUGAAACGCCGUAGCGCCGAUGGUAGUGUGGGGUCUCCCCAUGCGAGAGUAGGGAACUGCCAGACA
rnacentral:rRNA from 2 species